rnacentral:rRNA from 1 species
CUUAAAUUGAAGAGUUUGAUCAUGGCUCAGAUUGAACGCUGGCGGCAGGCCUAACACAUGCAAGUCGGGCGGUAGCACAGGAGAGCUUGCUCUCUGGGUGACGAGCGGCGGACGGGUGAGUAAUGUCUGGGAAACUGCCUGAUGGAGGGGGAUAACUACUGGAAACGGUAGCUAAUACCGCAUAACCUCGCAAGAGCAAAGAGGGGGACCUUCGGGCCUCUCGCCAUCAGAUGUGCCCAGAUGGGAUUAGCUAGUAGGUGAGGUAAUGGCUCACCUAGGCGACGAUCCCUAGCUGGUCUGAGA